GACGAACGCUGGCGGCGUGCUUAACACAUGCAAGUCGAACGGAAAGGCCCUGCUUGCAGGGUACUCGAGUGGCGAACGGGUGAGUAACACGUGGGUGAUCUGCCCUGCACUUCGGGAUAAGCCUGGGAAACUGGGUCUAAUACCGGAUAGGAGCCAUUUUUAGUGUGAUGGUUGGAAAGUUUUUUCGGUGUAGGAUGAGCUCGCGGCCUAUCAGCUUGUUGGUGGGGUAAUGGCCUACCAAGGCGGCGACGGGUAGCCGGCCUGAGAGGGUGGACGGCCACAUUGGGACUGAGAUACGGCCUAGACUCCUACGGGAGGCAGCAGUGGGGAAUAUUGCACAAUGGGCGCAAGCCUGAUGCAGCGACGCCGCGUGGGGGAUGACGGCCUUCGGGUUGUAAACUCCUUUCGCUAGGGACGAAGCUUUUUGUGACGGUACCUAGAUAAGAAGCACCGGCUAACUACGUA
rnacentral:rRNA from 1 species